rnacentral:rRNA from 1 species
AUGGAAGUAAAAGUCGUAACAAGGUUUCCGUAGGUGAACCUGCGGAAGGAUCAUUACCGAGUGAGGGUUUUUAUGAAGCCCAACCUCCCACCCGUGUAUACCGUACCCUGUUGMAUAGGAGGGCCCGCCUCAAGGCCACCGGGAGGCCUUGGGUCCCCGGGCCCGCSCCCACCGAAGACCCCAACCCGAACACUGUCUGAAAAGUGCAGUAUGAGUCGAUUGUUAACAAUCAGUCAAAACUUUCAACAAUGGAUUUAUUGGUUCCGGCAUCGAUGAAGAACGCAGCGAAAUGCGAUAAAUAAUGUGAAUUUCAGAAUUCAGUGAAUCAUCGAGUCUUUGAAAGCACAUUGCGCCCCCUGGUAUUCCGGGGGGCAUGCCUGUCCGAGMGUCAUUGCUGCCCUCAAGCAAGGUUUAUGUGUUGGGCCCCGUCCCCGGUACCCCCGGGGACGGGCCCGAAAGGCAGCGGCGGCACCGCGUCCGGUCCUCGAGMGUAUGGGGCUUUGUCACCCRCUCUGCAGGCCCGGCCGGCRCCAGCCGACCAAACCAACCA